UGGGGAAUUUUGCACAAUGGGGGAAACCCUGAUGCAGCGACGCCGCGUGAUUUAGAAGGCCGUCGGGUUGUAAAAAUCUUUUCUAUGGGAAGAAAAUGACAGUACCAUAGGAAUAAGGACCGGCUAAUUACGUGCCAGCAGCCGCGGUAAUACGUAAGGUCCGAGCGUUGUCCGGAAUCAUUGGGCGUAAAGGGUACGUAGGCGGGUAAGCAAGUUAGAAGUGAAAUCCUAUAGCUCAACUAUAGUAAGCUUUUAAAACUGCUCAUCUUGAGUUAUGGAAGGGAAAGUGGAAUUCCUAGUGUAGCGGUGAAAUGCGCAGAUAGUAGGAGGAAUACAGGUGGCGAAGGCGACUUUCUGGCCAUAACCUGACGCUGAGGUACGAAAGCGUGGGUAGCAAACAGG
rnacentral:rRNA from 1 species